UACGGGGGGAGCAAGCGUUGUUCGGAAUCACUGGGCGUAAAGCGCACGUAGGCGGACUUGUCAGUCAGGGGUGAAAUCCCGGGGCUCAACCUCGGAACUGCCUCUGAUACAGCAAGUCUUAAGUCCGGAAGAGGUGGGUGGAAUUCCUAGUGUAGAGGUGAAAUUCGUAGAUAUUAGGAAGAACACCGGUGGCGAAGGCGGCCCACUGGUCCGGUACUGACGCUGAGGUGCGAAAGCGUGGGGAGCAAACAGG
rnacentral:rRNA from 1 species